GGAGAGGUGGCGGAAUGGUAGACGCGCUACUUUGAGGGGGUAGUGUGCACGGCACGUGGGAGUUCGAGUCUCCUCCUCUUCA
rnacentral:tRNA from 1 species